rnacentral:rRNA from 1 species
GGCGGCGUGCCUAAUACAUGCAAGUCGAGCGGACAGAAGGGAGCUUGCUCCCGGAUGUUAGCGGCGGACGGGUGAGUAACACGUGGGUAACCUGCCUGUAAGACUGGGAUAACUCCGGGAAACCGGAGCUAAUACCGGAUAGUUCCUUGAACCGCAUGGUUCAAGGAUGAAAGACGGUUUCGGCUGUCACUUACAGAUGGACCCGCGGCGCAUUAGCUAGUUGGUGGGGUAAUGGCUCACCAAGGCGACGAUGCGUAGCCGACCUGAGAGGGUGAUCGGCCACACUGGGACUGAGACACGGCCCAGACUCCUACGGGAGGCAGCAGUAGGGAAUCUUCCGCAAUGGACGAAAGUCUGACGGAGCAACGCCGCGUGAGUGAUGAAGGUUUUCGGAUCGUAAAGCUCUGUUGUUAGGGAAGAACAAGUGCGAGAGUAACUGCUCGCACCUUGACGGUACCUAACCAGAAAGCCACGGCUAACUACGUGCCAGCAGCCGCGGUAAUACGUAGGUGGCAAGCGUUGUCCGGAAUUAUUGGGCGUUAAGGGCUCGCCAGCGGGUUCUUAAGUCUGAUGUUAAAGCCCCCCGGUCCACCCGGGGAGGGUUCUUGGAAACUGGGGAAA